GACGAACGCUGGCGGCGUGCCUAAUACAUGCAAGUAGAACGCUGAAGGAGGAGCUUGCUCUUCUGGAUGAGUUGCGAACGGGUGAGUAACGCGUAGGUAACCUGCCUAGUAGCGGGGGAUAACUAUUGGAAACGAUAGCUAAUACCGCAUAAGAGUAGAUGUUGCAUGACAUUUACUUAAAAGGUGCAAUUGCAUCACUACCAGAUGGACCUGCGUUGUAUUAGCUAGUUGGUGGGGUAACGGCUUACCAAGGCGACGAUACAUAGCCGACCUGAGAGGGUGAUCGGCCACACUGGGACUGAGACACGGCCCAGACUCCUACGGGAGGCAGCAGUAGGGAAUCUUCGGCAAUGGACGGAAGUCUGACCGAGCAACGCCGCGUGAGUGAAGAAGGUUUUCGGAUCGUAAAGCUCUGUUGUAAGAGAAGAACGAGUGUGAGAGUGGAAAGUUCACACUGUGACGGUAUCUUACCAGAAAGGGACGGCUAACUACGUG
rnacentral:rRNA from 1 species